CUCUACAUCAUUCUAAGGAGCUGUGAUCUUAUAGACUGGUGGUUCCUAAUUCAAUCAAACCCUUUAGUAUGCUGAAUAAUGGACACCUAAAUAUAUCAGGUUCUAAUCCCUGGAACUUGUAAAUGUUAUAAGGAAAAAUAAUUUUUGCAGACAUGCUUAAGUUAAGUCUUUAGAUGAAGAGGUUACCCUGAAUUAUCUGGUGGACCCUAAAUCAAAUCACAAGUGCCUUUAUAAGAGAGAUGCAGGGGCGGAUUUACCACAAAACACAGAAGAGGAGGAGGCACUGUGACCACAGAGGCAGAGAUUAGAGUGAUGCAAGUUUAAGUCAAGGAACAUUGUGUUGGCAGCCACCAGAACCUGAAAGAGGCAAGGAACAGCUUCUCUCCUAGAGCCUCUGGAGAGAGCACAGCCUUGCCAACAACUUGAUUUUGGCCCAGCAAGACUGAUUUCAAACCUGUAGCCUCCAGAACUGUAAGAAAAUAAAGUUCUGUUAUUUUAAGCCACCAAGCUUGGGGUAAUUUGUUACAGCAGCCGUAGGAAACUAAUAUCCACCCAAUGUCCUCUUUUUUUAAUUGAGAUAUAAUUCACAUAUCAUAAAAUUCACCCUCUAAGGUUUACAAUUUAGUGUUUUUAGUACCUUCACAAGGUUGUGUUUUGACUUGCAACCAUCACCUCUAUCUAAUUCCAGAACAUUUUCAUACUCUGAAAAGAAACUCUAUGCCCAUUAAUGGUCACUCCCCAUUCCCACCUCUGGCAACUAUUAAUCUUCUUUCUGUUUCUAUAUGUUUACCUAUUCAAGACAUUUUAUAUAAGUGGCAUCAUACAAUUUGUGGACUUUUGUGUCAGCCUGUUUUUCAUUUAGUAAUAUUUUCAAGGAUCAUCCAUGUUGUAGCAUGACUUCAUUCUUUUUUCUGGCUGGAUAAUAUUCCAUUCAUCAGUUGUUUAUCAUUCAUCACUUGAUCCACAUUUUGAUUGCUUCAAUAUCUUGGCUAUUAUGAAUAAUACUGCUAUGAACAUUCAUAUACAAGUUUUUGUGUAGACAUAUAUUUUCAAUUGUCUUGGGUACAUACCUACAAGUGGAAUUGCUAAGUCAUAUCUAACACUACGUAUAAUAUUUAAGAACUGCCAAAUUGGUUUCCAAAUGCAUUUCACCAUUUUACAUUCCCAACAGCAAAGUAUGAAGGUUUCAGUGCUGCUACAUCCUUGUCAAUGCUUGUUAUUGUCCCUUUUUUAUGACCAUCCUAGGAGGUAUGAAGUGGUAUUAUUCCAUUGAGGUUUUAAUUUGCAUUUCCCUAAUGACUAAUGAUGUUGACAUCUUUUCAUAUACUUAUUAGUCAUUUGUACAUCUUCUUUGGAAAAAAUGUCUACUCAGAUCAUUUGUCCACUUUUUCGCUGGGUUAUUUAUCUUAUUAUUGAAUUAUAAGAGUUCUUUAUUUUUUUAAGAUAAAAGUCUAUCAUAUAUGAUAUGCAAAUAGUUCACCAUUCUGUGUGUAUCUUUUCACUUUCUUGAUAGUGUCCUUUGAAGCACAAAAGUUUUUCAUUUUGAUGAAGUCCAACUUAUCUAUUGUUAGUUUAGUUGCUUACACUAUUAGCGUCUAACAAACCAUUGCCUAAGCCAAGGUCAUGACGAUUUAUACCUGUGUUUCCUCCUAAGAGUUUAUUGUUUUAGCUCUUACAUUUAUAUCUUUGACCUGUUUGGGGUUAAUUUUUGUAUGGUGUGAGAUAGGGGUCCAAUUUGUAUUAACCAUGUCUUUUAUUUUCUGUAUUCUGAUGAUUCAACAUCUGGGGUCUUGCUGAUCCUAGAAAAAUUGCCCCACCCAGGGUUAGCCAAUUCUUAGAGAUAAUAAACAAUUCAACCCUGAGUGUUCCUUUCAAAUGCAAACCAACCAAUCCAAAGCCCAUACAUUCAGCCACAUCUUUCAUCAGACUCUCAUACUCUGGGCUACUAUUCACCUGUCUUAAUUACCCCAGGGCCAUGUACCAUACAAUUUAGGGACAGCCCCUGUGCCCCAGAGCCUGCUAAAAUUAUUCAAAUUAGCCAGUUCUAAACCUGUUUAUCCUGGUUUACCUGUGACUUACUAGAGAAACCACAAUAAAUGGUCUUGCCCACAAUUUCCCCCUCUCCCUCUACCUCCUGACUGAACUUGAUGCUUCCUUGUGUGGUACCCCAUAAUGUAGUAUGCCCAUUUCUCUUGGGAUCUGUGAGUAUAACAAACUAUCUGUUGCAAUCAUCUCCUGAUCUGUUGGUCUUGCCAUACCUAAAUAAUAAUAAAACCUAUAUUAAAACACAACUUCAUUUUUUGGCAUGUGGAUAUCUGAUUGCCCCAACACCAUUUGUUGAAAAGACCAUUCUUUCUCCCAUUGAAUGGUCUUAGCACCUUGUCAAAAUCAAUUUACCAGGGCUUCCCUGGUGGCGCAGUGG